rnacentral:rRNA from 1 species
GUGGGGAAUCUUGCGCAAUGGGCGAAAGCCUGACGCAGCCAUGCCGCGUGACUGAUGAAGGUCUUAGGAUUGUAAAAUUCUUUCACCGGGGACGAUAAUGACGGUACCCGGAGAAGAAGCUCAGGCUAACUUCGUGCCAGCAGCCGCGGUAAUACGAAGGGGGCUAGCGUUGCUCAGAAUUACUGGGCGUAAAGGGCGCGUAGGCGGACAGCUUAGUCAGAGGUGAAAGCCGAGGGCUCAACCGUGGAAUUGCCUUUGAUACUGGCUGGCUUGAGUUUGGGAGAGGGGAGUGGAACUCCGAGUGUAGAGGUGAAAUUCGUAGAUAUUCGGAAGAACACCAGUGGCGAAGGCGACUCACUGGCCCAAUACUGACGCUGAGGCGCGAAAGCGUGGGGAGCAAACAGGAUUAGAUACCCUUGUAGUCC